ensembl:lncRNA
CUGGAGGAGGAAAUGGCAACCCACUCCAGUAUUCUUGCUGGGAAAAUCUGUCCUUGGGGGGAACAUCCUAUAGGCGCCUGGCAAGCUACAGUCCAUGGGGUCUCAGAGAGUCAGACACGACUGAGUAUGCAAUGCAUGCUUGAGAUACUGAAGCAAUUAUUACCUCCAUUUUACAGAUGAGCAAACUGAGGUCCACAGUGGUUAAGGCUCUUGGCCAUGAUUACCCUGGGAGUACAUGGCUUAUCCUGGAAUGUGAACAGGUCUUUCCACCUGGUGCCUGAACUCCUGAUGACUACCUCUAACCACCCCUCUUAGGUCUUACAUGCCACUCAGACAGCCAGGGGCGGGAUGGCUUCCAUCACCCACCAAAGUGCAUCUGCCUAGCUGCCCUUGGCUGGCAAACCUCUCCUCAAUCUGACCCAAAGUUACCUUUUUCCUUUGUUACCUCCCCUGCGUCCCUAGGGCUGCUGCUGCCACAGCCCAGCAGGCAGGAGGCCAGAUCCAGGCUGUGAUACAGAGAGAGAGAGAGAGUCCCUGUGAGCUGGAGUCCCAGCCUGGGGCGUCACAGCAGGAGACCUCGAAGCCUGGCCAAGCUCUGUGAGACUGUGAUCAAAGCCGGCGGGUGGGGGGGCAGAGCAACAAGGAACAGAAUUUCAGCUGCAGUCCUGCCCUUCUGGCAGCUUCUGGCCACCACGAGAGAAUCGGCAUCACCAUGUCCAGCUGAUGUCCUUCCAGAUCACGGCAAAGGAAUGUGAAGUAUCAGUCAGCCCAAGUGAUCUUUUCGGGAGCAUCUUCCUCAUGUCAUGAGACUCUUAGAAAUUGCAAAAGUGCUUAGGAGUCUACAGAAAAAUCUCAGCCAACCCUGUGGCUCUGAGAUCCCGGUCCUGUGCAUCCUUGCCCCUGCCAGGUUACCUGAAGAAUGGCAGGUCUUUAUCUGUCUCUUCUGACUGCAGUAGCUCACUGCAGACCACCCACGGACCAGGCUCCGCACUGAGACCAAUUAGGGCAGAAUAGUACAACUUCCAAGGUGUUCACUUGGUUCUGGCCCCAGAAACACAUAGAGUGGGCACACGAGCCUCUCUGUGACUGUGCAAAGCAAGUCCAGAUGGCACGAGAUGCCAAGAAAUCCUGGGGUUACCCCUUGGGGUGCCCCCUCCAAGGGCAGGCACAGCCCAGGCCUGGUACACUUCCGGAUGGCUGUCUGAAUGAGCCCAGAACCACCAGCCUGUAAAGAAAACACAGUGAAUUGCUGUUAGAUCAUGUCAACUUUAAUGUGCUCCCAUAGUAUUAAAAACACAUCUGCAAGGAAAUUUUUGACUCUUCAAAGGCUCCCUACAGGCAAAAAUUUCCCUUAAGCCUCAUUCAGGAGGAAGACAGAGAAGAAGACAUCAUGAAGUUUGAGCGAGAUAUUGGGACAAAUCUGAAGUCAACCAGAGAGAUGUGGGUGGAGAGACCAGGACCAGAGGCUCAUUACUCACACCAGGUUUCUGCCAGAGGAUACAGAUGGGGACCAUGUGCCCAAGGAGACUAUCCAGAAGUUAAGAGCAGGACGGCUCCAUACAGUUGGGCAGGUUGUGCAAGGCAGCAGGGCACCCUCCCCUCCCCAGCAAGGAGGUGCCAAUCACCUCUUAGAUAUGGUAGAUUUAUAUAUUUAUUCUCUAGACUGGGAUAAAAUGUCUAAUAAUCGACGUAUUAUAACACUUUUCCAACAGAUAGAAGUAACAUGUCUUGGGGAAGAAGCCCCUCUUUCUAAUCUGCCCGGAGGUGCUCUGUGACUUGUGAUAACCCUGAGAGAAGUUACUCUUAUUUGGGAAGCCUGGGCAGUGUUUGGAUAUUGGUGUAUAUGGCAGAUUCCAUGUUUGUCACACAGAUGCCAAGCUCAACUUCAUGUAAUC